rnacentral:rRNA from 1 species
CCGUACCGCAACCGACACCAGUAGAUGAGAUGAGUAUUCUAAGGCGCAGGAAAGAACUCUGGUUAAGGAACUCUGCAAACUAGCACCGUAAGUUCGCGAUAAGGUGUGCCGCAGCAAUGCGGUCUCAGCAAAGAGUCCCUCCCGACUGUUUACCAAAAACACAGCACUUUGCCAACUCGUAAGAGGAAGUAUAAGGUGUGACGCCUGCCCGGUGCUCGAAGGUUAAGAGGAUGCGUCAGUCGCAAGAUGAAGCGUUGAAUUGAAGCCCGAGUAAACGGCGGCCGUAACUAUAACGGUCCUAAGGUAGCGAAAUUCCUUGUCGGUUAAAUACCGACCUGCAUGAAUGGCGUAACGAGAUGGGAGCUGUCUCAACCAGAGAUUCAGUGAAAUUGUAGUGGAGGUGAAAAUUCCUCCUACCCGCGGCAAGACGGAAAGACCCCGUGGACCUUUACUACAACUUAGCACUGCUAACGGGAAUAUCAUGCGCAGGAUAGGUGGGAGGCUUUGAAGUAAGGGCUUUGGCUCUUAUGAAGCCAUCCUUGAGAUACCACCCUUGAUUAUUCUGUUAGCUAACGGACACAGGUUAUCCACAUGCAGGAUAAUGCCUAUUCGAUACUCCGGUA